rnacentral:rRNA from 1 species
UGGGGAAUAUUGGACAAUGGGCGCAAGCCUGAUCCAGCCAUGCCGCGUGAGUGAUGAAGGCCCUAGGGUUGUAAAGCUCUUCAACGGUGAAGAUAAUGACGGUAACCGUAGAAGAAGCCCCGGCUAACUUCGUGCCAGCAGCCGCGGUAAUACGAAGGGGGCUAGCGUUGUUCGGAAUUACCGGGCGUAAAGCGCACGUAGGCGGAUACUUAAGUCAGGGGUGAAAUCCCGGGGCUCAACCCCGGAACUGCCUUUGAUACUGGGUAUCUCGAGUCCGGAAGAGGUGAGUGGAAUUCCGAGUGUAGAGGUGAAAUUCGUAGAUAUUCGGAGGAACACCAGUGGCGAAGGCGGCUCACUGGUCCGGUACUGACGCUGAGGUGCGAAAGCGUGGGGAGCAAACAGGAUUAGAUACCC